rnacentral:misc_RNA from 1 species
UCGCGGCUUAUCACCGGCAGUCCCCUUAGAGUGCCCAACUGAAUGAUGGCAACUAAGGGCGAGGGUUGCGCUCGUUGCGGGACUUAACCCAACAUCUCACGACACGAGCUGACGACAACCAUGCACCACCUGUCACCCUGUCCCGAAGGACUUCGCCUAUCUCUAGGUUAUGCAGGGGAUGUCAAGUCUAGGUAAGGUUCUUCGCGUUGCUUCGAAUUAAACCACAUGCUCCGCUGCUUGUGCGGGUCCCCGUCAAUUCCUUUGAGUUUUAAUCUUGCGACCGUACUCCCCAGGCGGGGUACUUAUUGUGUUAACUGCGGCACAGAGGGAGUCGAUACCCCCUACACCUAGUACCCAUCGUUUACGGCGUGGACUAC